UCUUGUCCAGAGCUUUUCUCUCCUUCUCUGCUGCACUUUGGAUUUCUUUGAUGCGACGCUUCAGAGUGCUGCGAUCAGACGAACUGAGCACGCCCAGACCCUGCAGAGGACCAGGACAGAGGACAUCAGUCUCGACAGACAGCCGCUUCACUUUUAGCUGGCUUGAAGACUGAACAGUCGUCUGAACAGUCAAACUGCCCAGCGGUUCACAGAAAGACUCGUGAGCAGUCAGAGGAGGGGCAGGACCUGGAGGGCGAGCUGCUGGGGGUCACCAGUGCCUCCUGAGAUGUGGCAUUGGUCAGCUGGUGGUACCGCCCCCUCGGGGGAGUAGCCAGUGAUGUUUCUUCAUCCUCCGGAGAGCGACGUACCUGAGGAGCCAAUGUGAAGCAGUGAUGUGUCGAAGGAGAAGGCGGGGCUUCGAGCUGACAACAGCGCAUCAGGAGAGGGGGAGGCGCCUCGCAUGGCCAGGUGGAGAGGGUCUCAGAGACAAUGCUGUUGUUAUGGUAACCACGUCACCGCAGCAACUCGACCGACCGACCGACCGGACGUGUUUCCACCUCAUCCAGUCUCAUUCCUGCAGUGGCUUAACAUCAGCAUAAACAUUAACCUCCCACUGUAACGCUGGCUAACACCCAUCGGCUAAAUGAGCCCAAACAGCUUGUUUUGUCCUGCAGUCAGGAUGAAACCCACCAACUGAGACCAAGCACAGCUCACUGCUGUCACACUGAUUCAGCUGUUUGAAGGAUUACUCACAUCAGGCCUCAUGAAAGAACAUUUUCACAUUCAGUAGUUUCAAGUUAGACUCAAUGUGAACUCACCAAACUGCACAAACCUGGAACAAAUGAUAUAUAAAUAUAUCAUCUAGGAGAUUUCAUUGUUUGCAUUAUCAAAGCCCUCAAAAUGUCCAUCCUUUGUGCAUAAUUUUGGUUCACAAAGAUAUUUUUAAACAGUAAGUGGUUCACGUUGCAGAGCUCCAUGUCCUCAAAGCAGCUGGCCUGUCCAACAUCCUGAGGUCCAUAAAACCUCUCAGCACAUUGAAGACGACCGUACGUACGUUUUUGUUAUGUAUGUCAUUGUGGUUCAUUAUGGUGUCUAAUUUAAAUUCCAAAUUCACCUGGAGGAAGUGUUAUGAUCACUGAACACCGAAUGUUCCGCUAAAAUAACAGAAAUUCCCAUAAAUAACUUGUUUCUCCAGCUUAAGAACAAAUCUGUUUAUAUGACCG